GAAAUUAAGCAGAGGCACCCGCUUCUCGCCUUAGUAAUUUAGAUUGCUGGGCUAAAACGAUGAAAAGACUAUGAAUGGUCUUAAUGGCGGGGUGUGUAUGCACCUCGUUUUUUUCUGCCU
rfam:Pediococcus cellicola strain DSM 17757 Scaffold1, whole genome shotgun sequence.